rnacentral:rRNA from 1 species
UGGGGAAUCUUGCACAAUGGGGGAAACCCUGAUGCAGCAACGCCGCGUGAGUGAAGAAGGAUUUCGGUUCGUAAAACUCUGUUGUUAGAGAAGAACAGCGCAUAGAGUAACUGUUAUGCGUGUGACGGUAUCUAACCAGAAAGCCACAGCUAACUACGUGCCAGCAGCCGCGGUAAUACGUAGGUGGCAAGCGUUGUCCGGAUUUAUUGGGCGUAAAGCGAGCGCAGGCGGUCAAUUAAGUCUGAUGUGAAAGCCCCCGGCUCAACCGGGGAGGGUCAUUGGAAACUGGUUGACUUGAGUGCAGAAGAGGAGAGUGGAAUUCCAUGUGUAGCGGUGAAAUGCGUAGAUAUAUGGAGGAACACCAGUGGCGAAGGCGACUCUCUGGUCUGUAACUGACGCUGAGGCUCGAAAGCGUGGGUAGCAAACAGG